ACGUAGGUGGCAAGCGUUGUCCGGAUUUAUUGGGCGUAAAGGGAACGCAGGCGGUCUUUUAAGUCUGAUGUGAAAGCCUUCGGCUUAACCGGAGAUGUGCAUUGGAAACUGGGAGACUUGAGUGCAGAAGAGGAGAGUGGAACUCCAUGUGUAGCGGUGAAAUGCGUAGAUAUAUGGAAGAACACCAGUGGCGAAAGCGGCUCUCUGGUCUGUAACUGACGCUGAGGUUCGAAAGCGUGGGUAGCGAACAGGAUUAGAUACCCUGGUAGUCCACGCCGUAAACGAUGAAUGCUAGGUGUUGGAGGGUUUCCGCCCUUCAGUGCCGCAGCUAACGCAAUAAGCAUUCCGCCUGGGGAGUACGACCGCAAGGUUG
rnacentral:rRNA from 1 species